CUUGGUUAGCAGUGUUGCUAGAUGCAGUGGUCUUGGUUAGCGGUGUUGCUAGAUGCAGUGGUUAGCGGUGUUGCUAGAUGCAGUGGUUAGCGGUGUUGCUAGAUGGCAGUGAUCUUGGUUAGCGGUGUUGCUAGAUGGCAGUGGUUAGCGGUGUUGCUAAAUGGCAGUGGUCUUGGUUAGCGGUGUUGCUAGAUGGCAGUGGUCUUGGUUAGAGGUGUUGCUAGAUGGCAGUGGUCUUCGUUAGAGGUGUUGCUAGAUAGCAGUGGUCGUCGUUAGCGGUGUUGCUAGAUGCAGUGGUCUUGGUUAGCGGUGUUGCUAGAUGUAGUGGUUAGCGGUGUUGCUAGAUGGCAGUGGUCUUGGUUAGCAGUGUUGCUAGAUGCAGUGGUCUUGGUUAGCGGUGUUGCUAGAUGCAGUGGUUAGCGGUGUUGCUAGAUGCAGUGGUUAGCGGUGUUGCUAAAUGGCAUUGGUCUUGGUUAGCGGUGUUGCUAGAUG
ensembl:lncRNA